rnacentral:rRNA from 1 species
AAACCCGAAAGUUCGAACGGGGAGAUUCAAUUGAUUUACCGGUGAUGAUCAAUAGUGCAGUAUUUGGGACGCAUAUGAUAUGCAGUUUCGAUUGUAUUAUUAUAUACGCUCUGCUGUCUGUUGUUUAUUUAUUGUCGGAGUCAUGCACUUCUCCCCUUGUAGGACGUCGUGACCCGUUGAGCAAUUUAAGCCAUCUACGGCCCGUGGUGGAGCCCGUAUGUAAUUUAUUAUAUUCGGACCCAUGGUGACCUGAU